UACGUAGGGUGCGAGCGUUAAUCGGAAUUACUGGGCGUAAAGUGUGCGCAGGCGGCGUCGCAAGUCGAGUGUGAAAGCCCCGGGCUUAACUUGGGAAUUGCGCUCGAAACUACGAUGCUGGAGUAUGGCAGAGGAAGGUGGAAUUCCACGUGUAGCGGUGAAAUGCGUAGAGAUGUGGAGGAACACCGAUGGCGAAGGCAGCCUUCUGGGCCAAUACUGACGCUCAUGCACGAAAGCGUGGGGAGCAAACAGG
rnacentral:rRNA from 1 species